rnacentral:rRNA from 1 species
UACGUAGGGGGCAAGCGUUGUCCGGAUUUAUUGGGCGUAAAGAGCGUGUAGGCGGCCAGACAGGUCCGUUGUGAAAACUCGAGGCUCAACCUCGAGACGUCGAUGGAAACCGUCUGGCUAGAGUCCGGAAGAGGAGAGUGGAAUUCCUGGUGUAGCGGUGAAAUGCGUAGAUAUCAGGAGGAACACCGGUGGUGUAGACGGCUCUCUGGACCGUAACUGACGCUGAGACACGAAAGCGUGGGUAGCAAACAGG